rnacentral:rRNA from 1 species
AUUGAACGCUGGCGGCAUGCCUUGCACAUGCAAGUCGAACGGUAGAGGGGGCAACCCCUUGAGAGUGGCGAACGGGUGAGUAAUGCAUCGGAACGUGCCCAGUUGUGGGGGAUAACGUAGCGAAAGCUACGCUAAUACCGCAUACGACCGGAGGGUGAAAGCGGGGGACUCGAAAGAGCCUCGCGCGAUUGGAGCGGCCGAUGUCAGAUUAGCUAGUUGGUGGGGUAAAGGCCCACCAAGGCGACGAUCUGUAGCUGGUCUGAGAGGACGACCAGCCACACUGGGACUGAGACACGGCCCAGACUCCUACGGGAGGCAGCAGUGGGGAAUUUUGGACAAUGGACGAAAGUCUGAUCCAGCCAUGCCGCGUGCGGGAAGAAGGCCUUCGGGUUGUAAACCGCUUUUGUCAGGGAAGAAAUCUUCUGGGUUAAUACCUCGGGAGGAUGACGGUACCUGAAGAAUAAGCACCGGCUAACUACGUGCCAGCAGCCGCAGUAAGAC